GUGUCGUGACACGCCCCCAUUUGGAGAGGGGUCUGGCUGCAGACAUCCACCCACACACUCCAGACAUCCACCCACAGAACUUCCGCUGCAGACAGAAACAUCCACCAGUACACCGAAAUUGAAAAAAAAAAGAAAUGUUGUUUUGCACUGCGCAAGCGCGAGUUGCACAUUAUGCAACAGCGCCCCCUCGGGUCACACUUUUCGUUGGGUCGCAGAAUUCGGUGUAACAACGGGACUCACUGCACGAAGAUGUGACACGUUCGGGUCAGCUGCACUUGGAAGUUAUGGUAGGUGACUAUUCAAAACAGCGAUACAGUUAUAAAUGCACUAGACUUGCAUUUCUUUACCGAUGUAUUAGUUUCAUUUAGUUUAGAUUUUUUCAUCAAACAAAUAACAGAACGUUUCACCAAUAUGAAGCAUUUGUUGUUUUAAUCCACACUGACGGUGGCAAACGUGUCAUUUUUGCAAGAUAGGCAAAUGUUUUUUGUAAACGUUGUGUAGCCUAUAGUCUGUCUUAUUAAACGAUUUUACAGAUUUGUAGAUGUGUUGCGAGUGUAAACGAUUUUAUGAUGUGGACUUUUGAGUCAUCUGUAGUCCAAAACAGAGUUAAGUUGUAAUAAAGUAAUUAGCACGAAUUGAAUUGACGCGGCUCGUUUCGCUUUAAAUAGAGUUGCACCUGUCAGCUGUUCAUCUCUGCAGAGGUGGCUGAGAAGUGUGAUAUCAUUCAAUAGACAGAAUCGAUCUUUAAAUAUUCGAUCUGCCUGUUUAGUUCAUACAAUCUGUUUAUAACUAAGAGAUCAUAACACCUAGUUCAGUUACAAGGGGUAAAAGAGAUGAAAAAUGUAAUAAAAAGGAUAAAAGUUAAUGAAUUACUGUUAUGUAAUAGCCUACUAUCCUGUCUCAGAUUCUAUUUUAGCAACCUUUGUCAGUCUCUCAGCCCUGGGCCAUGGAAAAAGAUGACUGGUUUGGACAUCGAGGUAAAUAUAUUGUUGUUUAAUGAUACUGUGAAACUAGAAGUACAAAUACUAACUCAUUUCUGACAUGAUAGGGCUUUCCACGGCAAAAGUACGGCAUCGACUGUGGCAUCUUCAUGUUGAUGUAUGCCCUUUACAAAGUGAUGGAUGCACCCUUUGACUUCACUGUUACUGAUAUGCCGGCAUUGAGAAAAUGGUGGUGUAUCAUGCUGAUCGAACAUUUUGACCUUGGAAGCCAUGGCAAACUCUUUGCCCACUGGACCGACGCAUCUAAGGCUCUUCUUCGGGGUUAGGUGCCACCAGUUUUUAAACUGAAGAAGAGAAGGCAAGAUGACAUUCAUGAGGGGCUACUUGACAACAUCGUGGCUGGAGUUGCCUGGCUGCAUCAGAAUGCAGGUUUGCUCAGGGGGAAGGUGGUCAAGCCCUCGUUUCAGAAUAUGGACGCAACAGAACAGCAGGAGCUCCUGGAAAGGAUACGUUUUUCGAAUGAUGAAGAAGAAAAGUAUCCCCUGCUCUUCACCUUUGAUUUUGCGGAAGACAUGGAGGUCUUCCUUAACAUGGCAGCUGAGGAGGAUUUUCGAGUCAACGGCAUGUUCGUGGGUCGCUGGGUGGACACUCAUUGACAUUGCUGUGUGUGUGUGUGUGUGUGUGUGUGUGUGUGUGUGUGUGUGUGUGUGUGUGUGUGUGUGUGUGUGUGUGUGUGUGUGUGUGUGUUGAGGUUCUGAGUUCGGUUAUCUGUUGAGUGUUCUGAAUAAAGUGUUAAAAAGUUUACAAUGUAUUGAUUUUUUAUGACUUUACUUAUUCACUUUGGUUACACACAGAGCUAAGCUAAAACACAGACUUCAGUUUGUUGUAUUUAAAAAUGGGCAAAUAAGGUUGUCCAGCAGCACAAGGUAAGACAAUAUUAUAGACAAUUAGAGCCAGAUAUUAAAUGAAUGAUGGUUCAGAGUAAGAAUUUAGGAAUGCAAAGGUGCUAAUAACAUAUGAUAAAGUGCAGUCGAACCUUAUGAUAUCAGGACAACAGAAUGUAACAUAACUAGACCUAAUAUAAAUAUGUCAGAAAAGGGGAAGCUAUAAAAGAAUUGUUCUAACUAUUCCUGUCCACUCAUACAUAGUUGCUGUAUUUAAAAUAAUUAUUAGCCUCAAUCUCUGAUGCCCUUCAGCUUUACAAUACGAGAAUCAGUUUGUGUCCUAUCAAAUAUUAAAUUGAGAUGAUUGCAGUAUAAGACAGAGGGAAUUCUGAAUAAGAAUUCUGAAUAAGAUGUGUGUAUUUACAGAAAGAGAAGAGCCAUAAGCUCCAGCUUAAAGUCAACAGCGAGUGUCAAGUCUUCUGUCCAAAACGGGAAGCAUUUAUCCGAUUUUAUAACGUAAUUUAUUACGUUCAUUUAUGUAAACACAUUACUUAACGCCCGUUCAUUUAUGUAAACACAUUACGUAACGCCCGAUUUUUAUUUUUUUUUCCAAUUUAUUUAUUUAUUUUUCCAAUUUCCGGUGUGCUUUAAACUUUAAAUGUAUCCAUGAAAUUUAGUUGUUUCUGUCACACAAAUUAAUUAAAUGCUGACUCAUCUAUGUAACAUUUUAUUAUUACGCAGCGCAUUACGGAACGCACUGCUUUUACUGUCAGGGGUGCGGUCAGAAUAUGGCCGGUAAUAGUGCAUUUGUAAGCGGGUCAACAACGUUUCGUAUCGAAACAUUAAAAAAGCAUAUGUCUAAAUAACAUGACGUGACAAGUGUGUAGAGAGUGGCCCCUCUCCCAGCUGCAUUAGAUAUAGAUAUAUAUAUAAUUAUAUUAGGGUUAAAAGUUGGGGUUCCACCAAUGGUAGAACUAUCUGAGUGAAGAAACGGCCUGUGGUUCACAUUGACAACAUAUUAGGUGAUAUCAUGAUACUAUUAACAGAUAUUCUAGUAAUUUCAUCUAAUAUAGGCUAUUUGGAUUAACUUUACUUAUCAAUAGUAGAUUCUGCCUAAGGUGGGAUGAGUGGGUGGAGGCUAUUCUACGUAUGUGUGGGUCCAGUGCCUAUUGGUCAGGAGGCUAUGACACAGGGUCUUAGGCGUGAAUGUAUGCAGAUGGGCGUCUAUCAUGUGUAAAUAUCCGGCCCAAUUGUAUGAAUGAGUACAACCUCUGACCCGAACGUCAGACACGCUAUUCUAAGAUAGUAAACGCGUCGUAGCAGCUGGAAGAAAAAAAAAGAAACAGCGACCCGUCCUGCACUAAUAUGCCGACUGACUGUAAGUAUUCAUAUGGGUGCAUUAUAUUAUGAUUAUAUUAUGACUAUGUCUAUGUGUAUCAGCUGUUUAUAUCUGACUGAAGCAGUGAUCACUCCGCAGUGAUUCAUGGGGCCGGCGGUGAGACUGUGAAACAGCCGGAACCACGUGCAAGUUCGCAUGAUAUUCGGCUCAACAAUCAAAGACCGAUUCUAGCCGAACAGACCAAUGCGGGGGCAAGCGGUAGUUUUGUACCUAUCGUGGAUAGUGUGAAACAGCGAACCCCUGGAGCAAGUCGUCUAUCGAAGAAAAAUCUGAAAAGACCGGGGUUAGGGUUGGCUCUACCCUGCUCCCCACUGGCCAUAGAUCCCUUAUAAAAAGGCUUGCAACGCACAUAGUGUUUUAACCCCAGAGAAUUUUAACCUGGUUAUCCAGGCAGUCAUAAACCCUAAAAUCGCGCAGCAAGGGAGUGUAUGGUCUGAGUCCAAACAACAAGUGAUCGGGACGGUGGAUGUGCAUGUGUCUGCGUCGCCUACAGAGACCGUCACAGUGCAGCCAGAUGGGACCAUACAACACGUCACUGGAGACCCCCAGUGUGCGCCACUACCAGUGCUGACCGCCGAUGAUUUGGAGGGUCUUGACGACCUCUCGUCGUGGACCUCAUCGCUGUUGGACCAGAUCGACUUCACUCCAGCUCAGUGGAUCGACCCUACGUCCGUAGGGGCUACCACCAGUGCAGAGCCUGUACAACACCACCAGCCUGCAGACCCUGCAUCUGGAUCCCUACACACCAUUCAAGACCCUAGCCACGACCCUCCGUGCAUUGUGAGUCCCAACGCUCAUGAGGCAGCGGCGACGCUGCUACCAGUCGGCACAGCGGUUGUUGUUGAUGAACACAUUGUGGGUGGGCGCUGUGUUAAAGGGGUAGUUCGGAAUUUUGGACAUAGGGCCUGAUUCCGAAGUGAGCAUUGGUAUUCUAUAUCACUGGAGACAGUUUUCAACACAUUUCAUUCAGUCCUUCUAGUUGCAGAGUUCGCUCGUGCUAGGCUAGCGCAAGUCAACGGGCAAUGCUAGCCUGCUAUUAAAAACAGUCUUACCCACUCCACAGUACACCCGAGGUAAAUCAAUUAUAACGCCAGACUAUAGAUUUAAAUGUCUGUGUUGAUAGAAUAAUGUUAGAAAUAAAACUAACCAUGCAUCGCAUGAAUCAUCGAGGGACUACUUUCUCAGCAGAAGCGGAAUUCUACUAUGCGCUGGUUAGGUUUGUAACCGAAUCACGACAGAAGAACGUAAACAGAGAAGCGUGGGACAGAAGCGCAAUUGAACGACUAGGCAACAUGAUGGUUCAGUGUGCUUUUAGAAAUUGUAGAAAUAAACGGUACAGAUGGGCACCACAAAGUUUCCACCAAUUUCCAGUGCGAGAUCCAGAAAGAACUCAACUGUUGCUUGUUGCUGCUGGCUUUGACAUCAAAACACCGGCUCGUACGGUUCGUUGGAUACAACAAAUUCCUCAUAAUCGUCUUCAAAAGCAGAUGCAUCGCUAACUCCUCCAAACGUGGCCAUAUCUUGUUAAUUUAAUACGCUUGUAGAAUUCCUUCGUUCACUGUACUCUGCAUUUGUAGCAAUGACAGCGGCAGGUAACCUGGGUAUCAGUCCGCCGCUGCCGUAGCCUACGUACAGGAAUAUAAACACUGCUGCUGAGACCCCGCAAUUCCCUCAAAAUGCAAUGCAAUGCAAGGUUGGUUUUAUUUCUAACAUUAUUCUAU